AAACUUUGCAAUGUGCGAAAGCACGACAAGGUUAAUCCGAGUGAUUCCUGCUAAAGGAAUCUUUUGUUAGUCAUAAUACCACUGAUGAAUAAGGGGUGGGCAAGUUCUGGUGUCAGCCGCCGCGGUAAAACCAGCACCUCAAGUGGUCAGGAGGAUUAUUGGGCCUAAAGCAUCCGUAGCCUGCUCUGUAAGUUUUCGGUUAAAUCUAUAUGCUCAACAUAUAGGCUGCCGGGAAUACUGCAAAGCUAGGAAGUGGGAGAGGUAGACGGUACUCCGUAGGAAGGGGUAAAAUCCUUUGAUCUAUGGAUGACCACCUGUGGCGAAGGCGGUCUACCAGAACACGUUCGACGGUGAGGGAUGAAAGCUGGGGGAGCAAACCGGAUUAGAUACCCGGGUAGUCCCAGCUGUAAACUAUGCAAACUCAGUGAUGCAUUGGCUUGUGGCCAGUGCAGUGCCGCAGGGAAGCCGUUAAGUUUGCCGCCUGGGAAGUACGUACGCAAGUAUGAAACUUAAAGGAAUUGGCGGGGGAGCAC
rnacentral:rRNA from 1 species